rnacentral:rRNA from 1 species
ACUCAAAUGAAUUGACGGGGACCCGCACAAGCGGUGGAUGAUGUGGAUUAAUUCGAUGCAACGCGAAAAACCUUACCUACGCUUGACAUGCCAGGAAGCCCGCAGAGAUGUGGGUGUGCCCGAAAGGGAACCUGGACACAGGUGCUGCAUGGCUGUCGUCAGCUCGUGUCGUGAGAUGUUGGGUUAAGUCCCGCAACGAGCGCAACCCUUAUCCCUAGUUGCUACGAAAGGGCACUCUAGGGAGACUGCCGGUGACAAACCGGAGGAAGGUGGGGAUGACGUCAAGUCCUCAUGGCCCUUAUGCGUAGGGCUUCACACGUCAUACAAUGGUCGGUACAGAGGGCUGCCAACCCGCGAGGGGGAGCUAAUCCCAGAAAGCCGAUCGUAGUCCGGAUUGCACUCUGCAACUCGAGUGCAUGAAGUCGGAAUCGCUAGUAAUCGCGGAUCAGCAUGUCGCGGUGAAUACGUUCCCGGGUCUUGUACACACCGCCCGU